UACGUAGGGCGCAAGCGUUAUCCGGAAUUAUUGGGCGUAAAGAGCUCGUAGGCGGUUUGUCGCGUCUGCCGUGAAAGUCCGGGGCUCAACUCCGGAUCUGCGGUGGGUACGGGCAGACUAGAGUGAUGUAGGGGGAGAACGGAAUUCCUGGUGUAGCGGUGGAAUGCGCAGAUAUCAGGAGGAACACCGGUGGCGAAGGCGGGUCUCUGGGCCGAUACUGACGCUGAGGAGCGAAAGCGUGGGGAGCGAACAGG
rnacentral:rRNA from 1 species